GAGUUUGAUCCUGGCUCAGGACGAACGCUGGCGGUAUGCUUAACACAUGCAAGUCGAACGAGAAAGUUUUGAAUGAUCCUUCGGGUGAAAUUAGAACUGGAAAGUGGCGAACGGGUGAGUAACGCGUGGGUAACCUGCCCUUCAGAGGGGGAUAGUGUCUGGAAACGGACAGUAAUACCGCAUAACGUACAUUGAUGGCAUCUUCGAUGUACCAAAGCUUUUGCGCUGAAGGAUGGGCUCGCGUUGGAUUAGAUAGUUGGUGGGGUAACGGCCUACCAAGUCGACGAUCCAUAGCCGGACUGAGAGGUUGAUCGGCCACAUUGGGACUGAGACACGGCCCAGACUCCUACGGGAGGCAGCAGUGGGGAAUAUUGCACAAUGGGGGAAACCCUGAUGCAGCAACGCCGCGUGAAGGAAGACGGUUUUCGGAUUGUAAACUUCUGUUCUUAGUGAAGAUAGUGACGGUAGCUAAGGAGCAAGCCACGGCUAACUACGUGCCAGCAGCCGCGGUAAUUC
rnacentral:rRNA from 1 species